rnacentral:rRNA from 1 species
GACGAACGCUGGCGGCGUGCUUAACACAUGCAAGUCGAACGGAAAGGCCCUGCUUUUGUGGGGUGCUCGAGUGGCGAACGGGUGCGUAACACGUGAGUAACCUGCCCUUGACUUUGGGAUAACUUCAGGAAACUGGGGCUAAUACCGGAUAGGAGCUCCUGCUGCAUUGUGGGGGUUGGAACGUUUCGGCGGUUGGGGAUGGACUCGCGGCUUAUCAGCUUGUUGGUGGGGUAGUGGCUUACCAAGGCUUUGACGGGUAGCCGGCCUGAGAGGGUGACCGGCCACAUUGGGACUGAGAUACGGCCCAGACUCGUACGGGAGGCAGCAGUGGGGAAUAUUGCACAAUGGGCGGAAGCCUGAUGCAGAAACGCCGCGUGCGGAAUGACGGCCUUCGGGUUGUAAACCGCUUUCGCCUGUGACGAAGCGUGAGUGACGGUAAUGGGUAAAGAAGCACCGGCUAACUACGUG